UCUAGAUUUCUUAAAUCAGCUCUCCGUGCCAGCAUUUUCCAUCUGGACCUUGCUCUGCCCUUUCUAACUGGCAGUGUUGUUUAACACACAGUGACCACGUGGCCUCAUCAUUUUUAAUGGCAAUUUGACAGAUUUCUUUCUAGUUGACUUUCAACGGCCACAUCACUCAUCUUGCUGUUCGGAGGCCGUCAGAAAGACGUAGAGACUGGAAGAUAACGUGACUGCUGGGUAGUGACAGGGCCUGUCUCCUGACCGCGGCUCAGCGUACCUUCCACAGGAAAAACCUACACGACCGUGUGCUGCCCAUGCCCAGGUGAACUCUGCCCAGUAGAUGGACCGUCCUUCCUCCGUGUGGUAAAAACUCUAAAUGUUUCCAAUAAGGAUGUAAAUGAGAAAGGACGCUACAUUCUCUUCUGGAUGUUGGAAUAAAUAGUAAAGAAGAAGCCA